GGCAGAGCAGAAAAUAAGUAGCAGCAGCCUAGAGUGAUUAUCCUCUAGAUUUGCCGUUUUGGGGCCAAAUUCUGGCCUCAGUGACAGUUACUCCAGAUCCAUGUUAGUACAAAUAGUAACAGUUCCAAGACACUAAUACAGAUCAGGAUUUAUUUUCAGGGCUUCUGCCUAUCCUGAUACAGAUCUAAAAUCCGCCCUUUUCUCUCUCUCACAGCUGAACCUAUGGGUUGGAGUUUGAACUGCAACAGUCAUGAUGUACAGGGAGGGGAAGGUACUCAACUGCUGCAGAGAGCAAUGGCUGCGUACUGU
rnacentral:lncRNA from 1 species